CCUUACGACCAUACCGGCCUGAGAAUGCAUGAUCUCGUCUGAUCACGGAAGCUAAGCAGGGUCGGGCCUGGUUAGUACUUGGAUGGGAGACCGCUUGGGAAUACCAGGUGCUGUAAGCU
ensembl:rRNA 5S_rRNA 5S ribosomal RNA